rnacentral:rRNA from 1 species
AACGAACGCUGGCGGCAGGCUUAACACAUGCAAGUCGAACGCAUCCUUCGGGGGUGAGUGGCAGACGGGUGAGUAACACGUGGGAACGUACCUUUCGGUUCGGGAUAACCCAGGGAAACUUGGGCUAAUACCGGAUACGUCCUUAGGGAGAAAGAUUGAUUGCCGAAAGAUCGGCCCGCGUCUGAUUAGCUAGUUGGUGAGGUAACGGCUCACCAAGGCGACGAUCAGUAGCUGGUCUGAGAGGANGAUCAGCCACACUGGGACUGAGACACGGCCCAGACUCCUACGGGAGGCAGCAGUGGGGAAUAUUGGACAAUGGGCGCAAGCCUGAUCCAGCCAUGCCGCGUGAGUGAUGAAGGCCCUAGGGUUGUAAACCUCUUUCAGUACCGACGAAGCGCCGAUGAUGGUGGGUGACGGUAGGGUACAGAAGAAGCACCGGCCAACUACGUGCCA